rnacentral:rRNA from 1 species
CGGGAGGCAGCAGCAGUGAGGAAUAUUGCACAAUGGGGGGAACCCUGAUGCAGCAACGCCGCGUGGAGGAUGACGCAUUUCGGUGUGUAAACUCCUUUUAUAUGUCAAGAAAAUGACGGUAGCAUAUGAAUAAGCACCGGCUAACUCCGGUGCCAGCAGCCGCGGUAAUACGGAGGGUGCAAGCGUUACUCGGAAUCACUGGGCGUAAAGGACGCGUAGGCGGGCUGGAAAGCCAGGUGUGAAAUCCUACAGCUUAACUGUAGAACUGCACUUGAAACUUCUAAUCUAGAGUAUGGGAGGGGGAGAUGGAAUUAGUGGUGUAGGGGUAAAAUCCGUAGAUAUCACUAGGAAUACCUAAAGCGAAGGCGAUCUCCUGGAACAUUACUGACGCUAAGGCGUGAAAGCGUGGGGAGCAAACAGGAUUAGAUACCCCUGUAGUC